rnacentral:rRNA from 1 species
CGGGGUGAGUAACGCGUGAGGAACCUGCCUCAAAGAGGGGGGAAACAGUUGGAAACGACUGCUAAUACCGCAUAAGCCCACGGCUCGGCAUCGAGCAGAGGGAAAAGGAGCAAUCCGCUUUGAGAUGGCCUCGCGUCCGAUUAGCUAGUUGGUGAGGUAACGGCCCACCAAGGCGACGAUCGGUAGCCGGACUGAGAGGUUGAACGGCCACAUUGGGACUGAGACACGGCCCAG